AUUUAAAUAAUAUAAUAAGUAUAUUUGAUUUCCAAUCAAAAAGUCUAUAGAAUAGUUUAAAUA
rnacentral:tRNA from 1 species